rnacentral:rRNA from 1 species
UACGAAGGGUGCAAGCGUUACUCGGAAUUACUGGGCGUAAAGCGUGCGUAGGCGGUCUGUCGCGUCGGAUGUGAAAAUCCAGGGCUCAACCCUGGACCUGCAUUCGAUACGGGCAGACUAGAGUUCGGCAGGGGAGACUGGAAUUCCUGGUGUAGCGGUGAAAUGCGUAGAGAUCAGGAAGAACAUCGGUGGCGAAGGCGCUUUGCUGGACCAUAACUGACACUCAGGGACGAAAGCUAGGGGAGCGAAUGGG